GACGAACGCUGGCGGCGUGCCUAAUACAUGCAAGUCGAACGCAGUGGGGACGGGUGAGUAACACGUGGGUAACCUCCCCAUCAGAGGGGAUAACACUUGGAAACAGGUGCUAAACCGAUACUGAUGGAUGGACCCGCGGUGCAUUAGCUAGUUGGUGAGGUAACGGCUCACCAAGGCCACGAUGCAUAGCCGACCGGGGAGGGUGACCGUCAAAACGGUGAAUGAGAAACGGCCCAGAGUCCAACGGGAGGCAGUAGUAGGGAAUCUUCGGCAAUGGACGAAAGUCUGACCGAGAAACGCCGCGGGAGUGAAGAAGGUUUUCGGAUCGUAAAACUCUGUGGUUAGAGAAGCGGUAUCUAACCAGAAAGCCACGGCUAACUACGUGCCAGCAGCCGCGGUAAUAC
rnacentral:rRNA from 1 species